GGGCUUGCUUCAGCAGCCCAUAUACUAAAAUUGGAAUACAAAGAUUAGCAUGGCUUCUGAAGAAGAUGACACAAAAACUUGUGAAACACUCCAUAUUUUU
ensembl:snRNA U6 U6 spliceosomal RNA